rnacentral:rRNA from 1 species
GAUGAACGCUAGCUACAGGCUUAACACAUGCAAGUCGAGGGACCGGCGCACGGGUGAGUAACGCGUAUCCAACCUUCCCAUUACUGUGGGAUAACCUGCCGAAAGGCAGACUAAUACCGCAUGGUAAUGGCUGGGGAUGGGUCUGAUUAGCUUGUUGGCGGGGUAACGGCCCACCAAGGCGACGAUCAGUAGGGGUUCUGAGAGGAAGGUCCCCCGCAUUGGACCCGAGACACGGUCCAAACUCCUACGGGAGGGAGCAGUGAUGGAUAUUGGUCAAUGGGCGAGCGCCCGAACCAGCCAAGUAGCGUGAAGGAUGCCGGCCUAUGGGUUUUAAACUGCUUUUGUAUGGGGUUAGGUACCAUACGAAUAAGGACCGGCUAAUUCCGUGCCAGCAGCCGCGGUAAUAC